CCACCUUUGAAAGAUAUCAGCUACCUAUUUUAUAAACAUUACCCAGUCUAGAGCCUGUGGGUCCACAUGGGCAACAUGCUGACUGAUGCAUAUUUUACA